rnacentral:lncRNA from 1 species
AGAUGUUCCACUUCACUUCUACUGAGUCCCGGAUCCCAGACCACAGGAGGUUGCGGGAGCACAGCCUGCCCUAUGGUUUAUGACUAAUUUGCAGCCAUUUGAGUUCAAAUACUGCUGAGAAGAUCCAAACUGCAAAGAAACACCCUGGAGCACCCUGUUUAUUCCUCUAGCAUCUGAGCACAGCGGGGAGUCUCCUUUCUUCUGCUGGAGCACAGCAGGAUGUGCAGGGUACAUCCUACAUGCUGGAUACAUCCUACCUGCUGUGGUAUACGCUGACAUCCACGUGGGGUAUAACUGGCAAGGGAUUCUUAUCCCCUGGCUUGUAAACUACAUCUGACCCUGAAGAGCUGUCCUUUGUCAGCAUCUGUCACAGGUGCCAGAGGAAGACUGAAAGCCAUCUUGGAAGGAUGCAGAGUCACCAGCUUUGGUGUGGCUCCCACGGUUCCUUGCGAAGACUUCCAAGGUUUUAUCUCUUGGCCAUCAGAGCUCUGCUUCCCUUGAUCUAUGCAGAUGGAAGACCCCUCAACCCUCAACCCAUUGCCUUCUCCCAAUCCAUACCCCACCAGUGCAACCCAGUGGUUCUACUGUUCUAAAUGGCCAUGUCUUGGGCCUCUGCUCCAACUUCCUACAACAUCACAGCUGAAUUCUUCCAUCAGUCAUUGUCACGGCCAUUGUCUUGUCUUCUCUGAAUCCCACAGACUUGUUGAGCUUGACUCAACUUCUCUUUGCCAUUCUCAACUCUUUCCUAUUCAGAAGAUUAAAACUUUGAUUUCAUUU